rnacentral:rRNA from 1 species
AUUGAACGCUGGCGGCAUGCCUUACACAUGCAAGUCGAACGGUAACAGGUCUUCGGAUGCUGACGAGUGGCGAACGGGUGAGUAAUACAUCGGAACGUGCCUAGUAGUGGGGGAUAACUACUCGAAAGAGUGGCUAAUACCGCAUGAGAUCUACGGAUGAAAGCAGGGGAUCGCAAGACCUUGUGCUACUAGAGCGGCCGAUGGCAGAUUAGGAAGUUGGUGGGAUAAAAGCUUACCAAGCCGACGAUCUGUAGCUGGUCUUAGAGGACGAUGAGCCACACUGGGACUGAGAGACGGACCAGACGCCUACUGGAGGCAGCAGUGGGGAAUUUUGGACAAUGGGCGAAAGCCUGAUACAGCAAUGCCGCGUGCAGGAUGAAGGCCUUCGGGUUGUAAACUGCUUUUGUACGGAACGAGAAGCCCCGGGUUAAUACCCUGGGGUCAUGACGGUACCGUAAGAAUAAGCACCGGCUAACUACGUGCCAGCAGCCGCGGUAA